CAAUAGCGUAUAUUAAAGUUGUUGCAGUUAAAAAGCUCGUAGUUGGAUUUCUGGUGGGAGCGAUCGGUCUGGCGCUUAGCGCGAGUACUUGCAUCGUCUCCGGCCAUCCUUGGGGAGAGUCUGUCUGGCAUUAAGUUGUCGGGCAGAGGAUCCUCAUCGUUUACUGUGAAAAAAUUAGAGUGUUCAAAGCAGGCUUAUGCCGUUGAAUAUAUUAGCAUGGAAUAAUAAGAUAGGACUUUGGUACUAUUUUGUUGGUUUGCGCACCAAAGUAAUGAUUAAUAGGGACAGUUGGGGGUAUUCGUAUUCCGUUGUCAGAGGUGAAAUUCUUGGAUUUACGGAAGACGAACUACAGCGAAAGCAUUUACCAAGGAUGUUUUCAUUAA
rnacentral:rRNA from 1 species